AGAUGAUGAUGAGCAUGAGUGGAUCAUUCGGACCUGCAGGAAAGCUGAAGAUGAAACAACUGGGCAUAAACCUAAACCAUGAAAAUUGGUUUUGCUAGACUAUAAUAAUCCAAAGCAGACAGGAGAUGAAUGCAAAUGACCUGAGAUAAGGUUUGGUUCAGUGGCAACAGUCAGUGUGAAAUAUAUCGUGAAACAACGUAUUGAAUAAAUUAGAGAAUUUCUUACA